UACGUAGGGUGCGAGCGUUGUCCGGAAUUACUGGGCGUAAAGAGCUCGUAGGUGGUUUGUCGCGUUUGUUCGUGAAAACUCACAACUCAAUUGUGGGCGUGCGGGCGAUACGGGCAGACUGGAGUACUGCAGGGGGAGCGUGAAUUCCUGGUGUAGCGGUGGAAUGCGCAGAUAUCAGGAGGAACACCGGUGGCGAAGGCGGGUCUCUGGGCAGUAACUGACGCUGAGGAGCGAAAGCGUGGGGAGCGAACAGG
rnacentral:rRNA from 1 species